AACGAACGCUGGCGGCAGGCCUAACACAUGCAAGUCGAGCGAGCAUUUCGGUGCUAGCGGCGGACGGGUGAGUAACGCGUGGGAACGUGCCCUUUUCUGCGGAAUAGUCCUGGGAAACUGGGGGUAAUACCGCAUACGCCCUUUUGGGGAAAGAUUUAUCGGAGAAGGAUCGGCCCGCGUUGGAUUAGGUAGUUGGUGGGGUAAUGGCCCACCAAGCCGACGAUCCAUAGCUGGUUUGAGAGGAUGAUCAGCCACACUGGGACUGAGACACGGCCCAGACUCCGACGGGAGGCAGCAGUGGGGAAUCUUAGACAAUGGGGGCAACCCUGGUCUAGCCAUGCCGCGGGAGUGAUGAAGGCCUUAGGGUUGUAAAGCUCUUUCAGCUGGGAAGAUAAUGACGGUACCAGCAGAAGAAGCCCCGGCUAACUCCGUG
rnacentral:rRNA from 1 species